rnacentral:tRNA from 1 species
GCCGGAGUAGCUCAGUGGUAGAGCAACGCUUUUGUAAAGCGUGGGUCGGGGGUUCGAAUCCUCUCUCCGGCU